AGUCGGCUAAUCACGACAACUCGUAAAGUCGGUGUAGCUGAUUUAUGUUCCACAUCUCAUAAUGGUUCAGUCUAUCAAAUGAAACCUCUUAGUGUUGAUGAUUCCAAACGUCUCUUCUAUAGAAGGUUAUUUUCUGAUGAGAGUGGAUGUCCUCUUGAAUUUGAAGAAGUGUCCAAGGAUAUAUUGAAGAAAUGUGGUGGAGUACCAUUGGCAAUUAUUACUAUAGCUAGUUCUCUGUCUAGUGGCCAGAAGGUAAAGCCAAAGGAUGAGUGGCUUGUUUUGCUCAAGUCUAUUGGGAGUGGACUUACCGAAGACCCCAGUGUAGAGGAGAUGUUGAGGAUACUAUCAUUCAGCUAUUAUGACCUGCCUUGCCCUCUGAAGACAUGCUUAUUAUAUCUAAGUAUGUUUCCGGAGGAUCACAAGAUCAUGAAAGAUCGGUUGAUAUGGAUGUGGAUUGCCGAGGGUUUUAUC
rnacentral:rRNA from 1 species